rnacentral:rRNA from 1 species
UACGUAGGGUGCAAGCGUUAAUCGGAAUUACUGGGCGUAAAGCGUGCGCAGGCGGCUGUGUAAGACAGAUGUGAAAUCCCUGGGCUUAACCUAGGAACUGCAUUUGUGACUGCAUUGCUAGAGUGUGGUAGAGGGAGAUGGAAUUCCGCAUGUAGCAGUGAAAUGCGUAGAUAUGCGGAGGAACACCAAUGGCGAAGGCAAUCUCCUGGACCUGUACUGACGCUCAUGCACGAAAGCGUGGGGAGCAAACAGG